rnacentral:rRNA from 1 species
GUAGGGAAUAUUGGUUAAUGUGCGAAAGCGCGAACCAGCAACGCCGCGUGCACGAUGAAGGCCUUCGGGUUGUAAAGUGCUUUUUGAGGGGAUGAGGAAGGACAGUACCCUCAGAAUAAGUCUCGGCCAACUACGUGCCAGCAGCCGCGGUAACACGUAGGAGACGAGCGUUAUCCGGAUUUACUGGGCGUAAAGCGCGUGCAGGCGGUUCAGCAAGUUGGAUGUGAAAGCUCCCGGCUUAACUGGGAGAGGUCGUUCAAAACUACUGAACUUGAGAGUGGUAGAGGGAGGUGGAAUUCCGGGUGUAGUGGUGAAAUGCGUAGAUAUCCGGAGGAACACCAGUGGCGAAAGCGGCCUCCUGGACCAUUUCUGACGCUCAGACGCGAAAGCUAGGGUAGCGAACGGGAUUAGAAACCCCGGUAGUCC